UCACUGUUACUAUACAUUUUUAUGAGGAUUCUUUGGACAUGGAUAGAGUCCAUUCAGAAUAUGAAUCUCAUUUGUGGGUUUUACCACAGGUUGUGACACACGGCGCCUGUU